rnacentral:rRNA from 1 species
AACGAACGCUGGCGGCGCGCCUAAUACAUGCAAGUCGAGCGAGAAGACGUAGCAAUACGUUUGUAAAGCGGCGAACGGGUGAGGAAUACAUGGGUAACCUACCCUCGAGUGGGGAAUAACUAGCCGAAAGGUUAGCUAAUACCGCGUACGCUCCUUGGACUUCGGUUCAGGGAGGAAAGCGAUACCGUGGGUAUCGCGCUCUUGGAUGGGCUCAUGUCCUAUCAGCUUGUUGGUGAGGUAACGGCUCACCAAGGCUUCGACGGGUAGCUGGUCUGAGAGGACGAUCAGCCACACUGGCACUGCGACACGGGCCAGACUCCUACGGGAGGCAGCAGUAAGGAAUAUUGCGCAAUGGGGCGAAAGCCUGACGCAGCGACGCCGCGGUGGGGGAGUGAAGGUC